rnacentral:rRNA from 3 species
UACGAAGGUGGCAAGCGUUGUUCGGAUUUACUGGGCGUAAAGGGAGCGUAGGCGGUCUGGUAAGCCCUCCGGGAAAUCUCCCGGCCUAACCGGGAAAGGUCGGAGGGGACUGCUUGACUAGAGGGCGGGAGAGGAGCGCGGAAUUCCCGGUGUAGCGGUGAAAUGCGUAGAGAUCGGGAGGAAGGCCGGUGGCGAAGGCGGCGCUCUGGAACGAUCCUGACGCUGAGGCUCGAAAGCGUGGGGAGCAAACAGG